rnacentral:piRNA from 1 species
AGACUCUGAGGCAGAAGGCUGAGGCA